CCUAAGCUUUUUACCCUAAUCGCCACUGAGUACCUCUGUGGGCCACCACCCAUCUCCUUUUGUCCCCUCCCUCUCCUUUCUUUUCUCAUCAUUCAAACCUUCACAUCCCCAUGAAACCCCCAUUUUUCUCCUCAUCAGCCGCCAUUCUCUAAAGCCCUCACCCUACCGUUGAUCUUCACCUUGGCCUUAGCCCCUUACCGUUGUUCCCUUGUCGUCAUUCCUUUCACCGAUUUCUUUUAGUCCCUAACUUCCAUCCCAACAAUCCACUCAUCCCCACUCCUUCCUCCAUCGACCACCUCGAACGUCGGCCCAUAUUUCUCUUCCUCGUCACUGCCGACCACAGAUACGUCGUCAAUCGUUUGUUUCUUUCGACCUCUAUCCUCCAUUGCCGCCAUCUGACGCCCCCACCAUUUGGUUCCAACCGCCUUAUCUUUUAUUUUAUUAUUUUAUUUAUUAUUAUUUGGUUUAUUAUUAUUAGAUUUAGUUUAUUAUAUUAUUGUUACUAGUUUUAGGGAUACUAUUUAUACUGUUCUGCUUAUUCUUAUUCUACUUGUUUGGAUUAUUAUAGUUUUAGAUUUUUAAAUUUUUAAUAAUUUUUUAAUAAAAGGGAAUGUAAUUAAUUUUUUUGUCCAUUUAUACAAUUAUCCACUUCUAAUGAAUUUUCCU
rnacentral:lncRNA from 1 species